rnacentral:misc_RNA from 1 species
AAGUCGUAACAAGGUUUCCGUAGGUGAACCUGCGGAAGGAUCAUUAACGAGUUUGAAUUGGGUUGUAGCUGGUCUCUCGAGGCAUGUGCUCGCCCUACUCAUCCACAUACCACCGUGCACCUUCUGUGGCGUGGUGGCGCCUUCACGGGUGCUGCCUGCUGCGUCUAUACACAUACACUUUAAAGUCUAGAAUGUCUACUUGCGAUAAAACGCAUCUAAUACAACUUUCAACAACGGAUCUCUUGGCUCUC